GAAUCAGAUGAUGAGAGAAAAACUGCAACAAUAUGAUCGAUUUAUUUCAUGAUUCGUAUGUAUUUAAGUCUCUGAUGAUC